UUAUCGUGUGAUACAGUCCUACUAUCGUGGAUCCCUACAGGACGGAGGUCAUGGACAACUCGUCAAACCCCAUCGUCUGUCAUAUGUGAAGAUUUAUUCGACUUAAGUUCGAGAGUGAAAAACUCUUUCUCCACUAUGCAUACUGCCCCGGCCGAGGUCUUACGAACUCAGUCUUAUAAAUCACAUAGGAUCUCUCCUUAUCUAUCAAGGUCGAUAGAUUCCUUAUAGGUGCAUACCCUACUUCUACAGUGAACUUACUGCAGCCAAUCUACGCUGCAUGGACCCAUAUGGCUAGAGAUCAUGUAUGUGUGCAGUCAAACUACAAUAACCUCACUGUGAGUAG
rnacentral:lncRNA from 1 species